ACUAACUUCAGUGAAACUUCAGGUGCCCUUUUUUCAUGCACUGGAUCUCAUUCCUCUUUCUGUUUUUAAUUAUUAACAAUGGGAUAUUGGAGGAAUGCUCAGGAAGUCUGAUCUGUAGCUACUGAGAGAGGCAUUAAUGCUUAUAUGAACAGACAUCACAUAGAGCCUAUGAACACACAGGGACUUCUAACCCUCCCACAGUAAUUACAGCUGUAAUUGAGAGAUGUAAUAUGAUUCUCUUUCCAUAGAUUUUACUUGCAUAACAAAGAACACAACACUAAUUAUCAUUUCAGAUUAAACGCUAUUCCAAACAACCCAAAUAUUUCUAUUGGCAAAACUACUUUCAAUCACUUCCACAAAUAAGUGGCUGCCCUUUACCAUGUACCUAGGUGGAUGGUUCAUGGCAGAGAGCAAAGUAUCAGCUCCUGGCAUCACAGGCUUAAUUUUAAUGUUCUUCUCAAAGAUGAAGAGCGAAGGAUGAUAUGCAAAAGAGUACUGUUUCAGUAUGAAAUGAGUUUGGCAAGCAAAAGGCAAGUGAAGAUAAAACAUCCUGAAAGUGCACACAUGCUUCACCUUGAACCAAACCAAGAUUGUUGUAAGAGUCUGUCACUCCUCUGUCUGAUGCUCAAGGUUGGCACAUGAUGUUACUGAAGCAGCUUCAGCAAGAAUUAUUGGCACUCAGUGACAAUAUCAGCAUAUGAUUUUUUCCUCCUGUAGUAUUCCUUUCAACAUUAUUUUCUUUUUAAUGAUCGGUUGGUUAUAAUCACUUCAGUUUCACUUCACUGCCUGCCACACACAUUUCCUUCUUGCCAUCCUUGCUUUUCUUUUUUUUCUCUUCCUCAUCAGUUCUCCCUUUCGUCACUUCAGAGUAUGCUGUUAGCAAAUGCCACCCACAGAUUUAACAGCAGUUUUAUGGCCCAUUGUAAAACUAGUCCACAUUUCAUUCCUUUCUCAUUAUUCGUGCUCUGAUCGUGUGUAAAAGGGGAGACAACCUUACAGUGUCUCUCUGACGCCAGGUCCUGGUUGGAACCUCUCGGAUCAUUUUAAUACACAAUGAGGAUAAUUUAAGAUGUUGACCAGAUCUCAGCUAAAUAAAGUAACAGUAUAUUUCCUUUAC